UUCUAUAUAUUGCAUUCUUUUUUGAUGUCAUCGUGUGAGAUACAACCCAUGACUAAUACAUGCAUCCAAAGUUUUCAUAACGAGAUCACCUGCGAAUUAACUGUAAGUCUGUAUAUAAUGUUGUUACAGUAUUUAUUUAUGGAGAAUUUACAAAAAUCACCACAAAAAGAAAAUCUGACAGCAGGAGUCAACUCCGGCCUCAAAAGUUUGAAUUGUUAAACACAAACACAUUUGUAUAUCAAACAGAGGGAUUUCAUUCAUAACUUCUGCCCUGCUAACUACAUUUUCAAUUUUAAAGUAGGUUUUUAGUCAACUGGAGUAUGCUGUUUCAAAUGGGAAUGGGAAAAUAAAUAAAUAAAUAAAUAAAAGGAUAUGGCAUAAAGAACUGCACCCUAAGUUAGAAUUUCGUCACAUGUUAAAAGCUUGUGUAUUGUUUCCAAAUGCUUCAGGGAGCCUCUUGUAACAAAUAUCAUGUGGAGGAACUUGCUUAUACAGGUCUGUUAUGUUAUUAUUUGUUGAAUUUGGGCUUUUUAUUUUUGUUAUUUAAAGAAAUUUGUUUAAUAUUACUAUAUAAUCUUCUAUGCUGCAGGCUAUAUAUCAAGUUACAGUUCUCCUUAUUUUUAACUUCUCUGGCAAGAUCGUUCUCAACUUGAAGAAUGAGCUGCCAGAACAUGCUAACAUGGUGAAGAAUACUGUGAUAUUUAAUGGAUUUGUUCUUUGUCAAGUAAGUACAUUCUAAUUUAUAUUUGACUAAGCUUAAACAAAGUUACUUUUUAUUGACAUUAUGUCCUCAACAUGUUUAGAUAACUUAUAUUUUUUCUUACUGUCAAAAUAAAUAUGUUUUUGUUCCAAAUCAACCAAUAUCUAUUUAUUUUAUAACUUAUUCUUUACAAGUAAAAACUUUCAAGCUUAGCAAAAUAGUAUCCCAUAAUUCUAUGGGAGGCCAGAUUUACCAGCAAGUUCAUUCUUUUCACUUGCAAUUUACAGAUAUUCAAUGAGUUCAAUGCUCGGAAACCAGAAGAGAUGAAUGUCUUUGAAGGGGUGACCAAAAACCACUUCUUCAUAGGCAUAGUGGGAACUACAUUUAUACUUCAGGUGAGAUGCCAUACAUUUAUAAUUUCAUGGUUUCGGAUUUUUGUUCCAGUAGGUCAUCAUUAACAAGCUCCUGAUCUGUAAUAGAUAAUCAUCAUUGAGUUCCUUGGAAAGUUCGCCACAACAGUUAAGCUGAGUUUGAAUCUAUGGCUAGUUUGCCUCGCCAUUGGUAUUUUCAGGUUCGAUAUUUUUCUUUAACAUUAAUAAUUAUUGUUUGAAAACCUUUAUUCGGCUAAGAAUAUUGGGAGGAUUGUGUGAAUGAAACAAGGUAGCAUAGAACUUGGACGUUUAUAUAACUAGGAAGCUUUUCUGAAAGAAAUAAUGGCUAUGCAAAGUGUUCCAAUCACUAAAACUUCUUGUGCUGAAAACCCCUGCAUGUUCUUUCACAAGAUGCAGUGAUUAGUUAUUGAACUUCUUGUAGUUUUCCGGGUAAAACCUGUAGAGUCUCCAAUUUUUUUCAAAGUUCUUUUGUGGUUUCCAAUUUAUCCACCUUUCUUAAAAUGGCGUCGGACAAGUGUAAAAUGGUUUAGGUAUAAGCAAGCUCAUUGACUUCUUCCUUUUGUUCUUUUGAAAAAUCAGUUGGAAAAUUACCUUCAAUGGCUUUCGGAACUUUUUGUUGAACCAAAAUACCCUUUAUUUUUUGUUGUCAGAUUGAAAAAUCACAUUUUCCGUUAAAAAUCCUCAAAUCAAAAUUGUGAAUUGUCAUUUUCACAAAACACAAUCAAAACUACACAAAGUAGUCCUAGAGUCACAGACAAUAAACUCCAUUCUAAAUUAUCAGGGUUUCCUAAGACUCGUGGUCUAAUGGGUAAGGUCUCGAUAUUCUAAUGAAAUUAAUAAAUAGCGAAAAUAACAAUGCAACAAAAAUAGAUAUGUCUAACAGAUACCAAGUUUCAUGGCAAUUAUAGUAUACAGAACAAUACUUUGAUUUAACAAGAACAAGUACUCAAUCAAACAGUUAAGAGCAAGUAAUCCUAAUUUCUAGCACAAGUAAUGUUACCCCUUCACGGUAACCACAACUCUACUAUCACCCCACACGAUGACGCGCUAAUGCUAGAAAUUAAAUGGGUUAUGCUAAUUUACCAGAGUGGACCUAUUUGAUUCCGUAAAGUUGAGAGAUGCGAAUUUGCUACUUUAGGGCCACCACUAUUUGUACUAAAGAUUCAGCAAAUAUACCAAUGCCAACCAACCACAAAAGUAGACUGAUAUCCAGGGACAAAAUCGUCCAAGUUUACCUGCGUAACCUGAAACAUUAAACAAACCAAAUCAAUACGUUCAGGAGACUAAAAUAAGUAUUCUGUCUGAAAAAAUCUCGUUUAAAAACUGUCGCAAGCAUCGUCGCCAUGUCGUCGCCGACCGUCGUCGUCACCAUUACGUGCAGCCUCAUAGGAGGUGCCUCGGCCUGCUGAUUAUGGGUCCGGCCUCCGUUUGUCCAACGAAGGUCGCGUUUGGGAGUAAUUGAAGGAUUUCAAAUCCUGUUAGCUGAAGAAACUAGCGCUUUCUCUCAAGUUUUGGCCGAAUUUUGGCAAAAUCUCCACCAUCCAAGCUCCCAUACCAGUUGUAGAGUCUCCAAUCACCCACCACCGAGGUUCAGUUUCCUAAAUCCAAAUCAACACCACAAAUCCAACGACCCAAGAACACCACUAAACUUCCACCUAGGGUUGCUAGUUGUUAUCUCACUUAGAGAACACUACAAAGGAGAAGCAAAACCACUAAGAAAGUCACCACAAAGGCACGGUGAAGUAGGGGUAGGGAGACGGCAGAGAGAAACACGAAGAGAGCUCAAAG
rnacentral:lncRNA from 1 species